GUGGUAAUGCCGGAUGCUCCAGUAGGAUGCAUGUCCUUCUGGGAAAGAUUCAUCGGUAUGGGAUGGGGUCGCGUCCUAUCAGCUUGAUGGCGGGGUAACGGCCCACCAUGGCUUCGACGGGUAGCCGGCCUGAGAGGGCGACCGGCCACAUUGGGACUGAGAUACGGCCCAGACUCCUACGGGAGGCAGCAGUGGGGAAUAUUGCACAAUGGGCGCAAGCCUGAUGCAGCGACGCCGCGUGCGGGAUGACGGCCUUCGGGUUGUAAACCGCUUUUGACUGGGAGCAAGCCCUUCGGGGUGAGUGUACCUUUCGAAUAAGCACCGGCUAACUACGUGCCAGCAGCCGCGGUAAUACGUAGGGUGCAAGCGUUAUCCGGAAUUAUUGGGCGUAAAGGGCUCGUAGGCGGUUCGUCGCGUCCGGUGUGAAAGUCCAUCGCUUAACGGUGGAUCCGCGCCGGGUACGGGCGGGCUUGAGUGCGGUAGGGGAGACUGGAAUUCCCGGUGUAACGGUGGAAUGUGUAG
rnacentral:rRNA from 1 species